rnacentral:lncRNA from 1 species
AGCCUCCUGAGUAGCCGGACUACAGGCGCCGGCCACCCCACCGCGCUAAUUUUUUUGUAUUUUUUAGUAGAGACGGGGUUUUGUGUCCGGAAUUGGUGGGUUCUUGGUCUCACUGACUUCAAGAAUGAAGCCGCGGACCCUCGCAGUGAGUGCUACAGCUUUUAAGGUGGCGCCUUUGGAGUUUGUUCCUUCUGAUGUUCGGAUGUGUUCGGAGUUUCUUCCUUCUGGUGGGUUCGUGAUCUCGCUGGCUCAGGAGUGAAGCUGCAGACCUUCACGGGGAGUGUUACAGCUCUUAAGGUGGCACAUCUGGAGUUUGUUCCUUCUGACGUUCAGAUGUGUUCGGAGUUUCUUCCUUCUGGUGGGUUCGUGAUCUCGCUGGCUCAGGAGUGAAGCUGCAGACCUUCAGGGGGAGUGUUACAGCUCUUAAGGUGGCGCGUCUGGAGUUUCUUCCUUCUGGUGGGUUCGUGAUCUCGCUGGCUCAGGAGUGAAGCUGCAGACCUUCACGGAGAUUGUAAAAUCAGGAAGUAUAUCUAAGUCACCUCCAGUAGCCGUAACUCUACCUUGUCCAGUAAAAGGAUAAUUCUGGCAGCUAUUGAAAACAGACUGAAGAGAAGAAAGAAGAUUUGGAGGAAUAUGUAUCCAAGAUUGAUGAUGGUGGCUCAGAUCAGUGCUGCUUGUUGCUGACGUUUCUGCCCAAACAUCAUGAAAUGUGGAGAAGAAAGAACACUCAGAUGUGCCCUGGAGACUUUCCUUUUAUUUUUAAACAGGUACAUCCUGAAAUUAUGUUAGAGUAAGUUUCAACAUAUUCAAAAUCAUGUCAUAAAAUGAAUGUUGUGAGAAUUAUUGACAAUCCUGAAAAAGCUUGGGUUGUUACUGGGUUAAGAUGUAAAAGAACCCACAGGUUAUUUUCCUUUUCUUCUUCUCUGCCUCACUGUAGGUUCAUUGUUACCAGCCCUGUAAAAACAAAACAAAAAAAAAAAAACAAAAAACUGUUUUUGAUAAUCGGGUUCAACUGUCUCUCCCCUACUAUAAUAGUUUGUUAAAAACAUGCUUCUGGCAAUGUGUAAACCUAAAUACAAUGCAGAAUUUUCAUUAUCCUGCAAUAAGAGCGACCGCCUGAAAAUAAAGCCUGCACAAAGGAGGGCAAAGCCAAGUUGUGGAGAGAGAAUGAAUGUGAAAGCAGAGCUGAGCCAGAGGGACACAGGCAGCCUCUGGGUCAGUGUGACUAGUGGGCCUGAAGCCAGAUUCCUUUCUUUAUCUUUUUAGUUAUAUGAGUUAAUGAAUUUGCUAUAUUUGCUAAAAUUGGCUUGAGUUGGCUAUUUAACAUCUGAGAAUAAAGUAUGCUGGAAAACAGAAUAA